GGGCCUAUAGCUCAGUUGGUUAGAGCAGCGGACUCAUAAUCCGUUGGUCGACAGUUCAAGUCUGUCUGGGCCCA
rfam:Acinetobacter sp. CIP 102637 genomic scaffold acLrO-supercont1.3, whole genome shotgun sequence.